CCCGCUGGGUUUAAGCAUAUCAAUAAGCGGAGGAAAAGAAACUAACAAGGAUUCCCUUAGUAACGGCGAGCGAACCGGGAACAACCCACCAUGAGAAUCGGUCACCUCUGGCGUUCGAAUUGUAGUCUGGAGAAGCGUCCCUAGUGGCGGACCAGGCCCAAGUCCCCUGGAAGGUGGCGCCAGAGAGGGUGAGAGCCCUGUUGUGCCCGAACCCUGUCGCACCACGAGGUGCUGUCGGCAAGUCGGGUUGUUUGGGAAUGCAGCCCCAAUCGGGCGAUAAAUUCCUUCCAAGGCUAAAUACUGGCGAGAGACCGAUAACGAACACGUACCGUGAGGGAAAGAUGAAAAGGACUUUGAAAAGAGAGUCUGCGAGUCAACGGGUGAGUCUACCCAUAAGGCGUAAGGAAGCUAAUUGGUGGCAUCCCCUUGUGGGUUGCACUGCCGACCGACCCUGAUCUUCUGUGAAGGGUUCGAGUGAGAGCAUACUUGUUGGGACCCGAAAGAUGGUGAACUAUGCCUGAGCGGGGCGAAGCCAGAGGAAAUUCUGGUGGAGGCCCGUAGCGAUACUGACGUGCAAAUCGUUCGUCUGACUUGGGUAUAGGAGCGAAAGACUAAUCGAACCGUCUAGUAGUUGGUUCCCUCCGAAGUUUCCCUCAGGAUAGUUAGAGCCCGCGGGCGAUUUCUAUCGGGUAAAGCCAAUGAUUAGAGGCAUCGGGGGCGCAACGCCCUCGACCUAUUCUCAAACUUUAAAUAGGUAGGACGGUGCGACUGCUCUGUUGAGCCAUGCCACGAAAUUGAGAGCUCCAAGUGGGCCAUUUUGGGUAAGCAGAAUUGGCGAUGCGGGAUGAACCAGAAGCUGGGUUACGGUGCCCAACUGCACGCUAACCUAGACCCCACAAAGGGUGUUGGUCGAUUAAGAAAGCAGGACGGUGGUCAUGGAAGUCGAAAUCCGCUAAGGAGUGUGUAACAACUCACCUGUCGAAUCAACUAGCCCCGAAAAUGGAUGGCGCUAAAGCGCGCGACCUAUUCCCGAACGUUGGGGCAAGGACCAAGCUCUGAUGAGUAGGAGGGCGCGGCGGUCGCUGCCAAAACCCAGGACGUGAGCUCGGGCGGAGCGGUCGUCGGUGCAAAUCUUGGUGGUAGUAGCAAAUAUUCAAAUGAGAACUUUGAAGGCCGAAGAGGGGAAAGGUUCCAUGUGAACGACACUUGCACAUGGGUAAGUCGAUCCUAAGGGACGGCGAAAGCCCAUGUGAUAGCGCUUUCAGCGCGUACUCCGAAAGGGAAUCGGGUUAAAAUUCCUGAACCGGGACAUGGCGGCUGACGGCAACGUUAGGGAGUCCGGAGAUGUCGGCGGAGGCCCCGAAAAGAGUUAUCUUUUCUAUUUAACAGCUUGCCCACCCUAGAAACGGCUUAGCCGGAGGUAGGGUCCAGUGACUGGAAGAGCACCGCACGUCGCGUGGUGUCCGGCGCGCCCCUAGCGUCCCUUGAAAAUCUGGAGGAUCGAGUGCCUCCCACGCCCGGUCGUACUUAGAACCGCAUCAAGUCUCGAAGGUGAACAACCUCGGGUC
rfam:Vigna angularis cultivar Jingnong 6 chromosome 2, whole genome shotgun sequence.